CGCAUUCAGAUUAAAACUAUUUGCACUUUAGUGCUAUAAAACUAGUUAUUAUAAUCAGUAAAGUAUGUUUAUAGAGUUGCAAUAGUCAAAAUCUAGACACCCAUUACGAAGGGCCACAAACAACGUUUCGUUAUCUUGGCUAAAAGAUGGAAAUCCAAACACACAUUAAGUGCGUCAAACGACCGGCCCCGAAAAAUAAUGCGGAUCAAUUGUGGCGCUGAAAUAUCUCUUUCGAUUAUUCAAUUUCGUCACAAAAACACACUGUGUCCUAUCUAGAUUUUUAAAAUAUAAUUAAUAACGAGAUAAUACAAGCAAUAGCAACUGAAAUGUA